UACGGAGGGAGCUAGCGUUGCUCGGAAUUACUGGGCGUAAAGCGCGCGUAGGCGGCUUUGUAAGUUAGAGGUGAAAGCCCGGAGCUCAACUCCGGAACUGCCUUUAAGACUGCAUCGCUUGAAUCCGGGAGAGGUGAGUGGAAUUCCGAGUGUAGAGGUGAAAUUCGUAGAUAUUCGGAAGAACACCAGUGGCGAAGGCGGCUCACUGGACCGGCAUUGACGCUGAGGUGCGAAAGCGUGGGGAGCAAACAGG
rnacentral:rRNA from 1 species